rnacentral:rRNA from 1 species
AGGAUGAACGCUGGCGGUCUGCUUAACACAUGCAAGUCGAACGGGCGUAGCAAUACGUUAGUGGCGGACGGGUGAGUAACGCGUGAGAAUCUACCUUCAGGACGGAGACAACAGUUGGAAACGACUGCUAACCCCCGAUGUACCGAAAGGGCAAAUAUUUAUAGCCUGAAGAAGAGCUCGCGUCCGAUUAGCUAGUUGGAGAGGUAAAAGCUCACCAAGGCGACGAUCGGUAGCUGGUCUGAGAGGACGAUCAGCCACACUGGGACUGAGACACGGCCCAGACUCCUACGGGAGGCAGCAGUGGGGAAUUUUCCGCAAUGGGCGAAAGCCUGACGGAGCAAGACCGCGUGGGGAAGAAGGCUCUUGGGUUGUAAACCCCUUUUCUCUGGGAAGACGCAAUGACGGUACCAGAGGAAUCAGCAUCGGCUAACUCCGUGCCAGCAGCCGC